rnacentral:rRNA from 1 species
CGGCGGACGGGUGAGUAACACGUGGAUAACCUACCUAUAAGACUGGGAUAACUUCGGGAAACCGGAGCUAAUACCGGAUAAUAUUUUGAACCGCAUGGUUCAAAAGUGAAAGACGGUCUUGCUGUCACUUAUAGAUGGAUCCGCGCUGCAUUAGCUAGUUGGUAAGGUAACGGCUUACCAAGGUAACGAUGCAUAGCCGACCUGAGAGGGUGAUCGGCCACACUGGAACUGAGACACGGUCCAG